GCAGUGCUGAUAAGACAUGCAAAGCACCAGGGCUGGGCCGCCCUCGUGCCCCAGCGGCGCCAGGCAUUGUGGGACUUCACUGUGGCCUCCUGGCUCCUGGACAGCCUCCCUGCAGCUGGGGGCCUCAUUCCCAGGAGCGUUCCCAGCCCAGCAAUGUCAGCAGGGGCUCAGUAAAUGCAGUUCUUAUCACGAGUGAAGUCCCCGUGGAGUGCAGGGGUGGCCUGAGGGACUGCAGCGGAGGACGACGAGGAGCUGGAUGGCCAAGGGCGAGUGUGACUGGACCAGGCGCAGGAAGGAACAGGUGAAAGCAACGCUAAGCCACCUCUGAGAGGCUCCUCUACCCCCACCGGCCUCACUACACCAAUCUGGUUUCCUGUGCUGCUUGUGGAGGCUGCCACACUAGCCAGCUUUGUUAUUCUGGGGGAGUGGAGAAGGACCUCAAAAGAAAACCAAGCCCCCCUUGGUCCAGCUGGCGCCAGCCCCUGACAGGCAGAAGGAAGCCCAGGAUGAAGUCUUAUGCAUCUCACUUGCUGUGUGACCUUGGGCUCCUCACUUUCCCUCUCUGAGCUUCAGUUACCUAUCUGUGAAAGGAGGGGGUUGGACUGUUAAUGAGUAAAGGCCUCUGUCAGAUUCAUCUGUUAUGGAUUGAGGUGUGUCUUCCAGAACCAUAUGAUAUGUUGAAGUCCUCACACUGAGUACCACAGAACGUGACGAUUUGGACACGCGGUUGCUGCGGAUGUCACCAGUUCAGAUGAGGACAGACUAAUGGGGGGGGCAGAGGGGGCCUGGAUCCAAUAUGGCUGGAUACCCAUGAAGGCCCGGGCUGACGGCCACCAGCAGCAGCUGGGGAGGGGUGAGGAAGGACUGGACUUGGCUGUCAGGGGGACACAGCUCCAGGUACCCUGGUCAGUCUGCUGGCCUUCGGAGCUGGAGACAAACAGCCCGCUGGGCUACGGCACUCAGUUUGUGAUACUUUGUCACAGAAGUUCUAAGAAACAAAGAGAACAUUGGAAUUAAAUCACACUGGAUUUUUGCUUGUUUA